rnacentral:rRNA from 1 species
CCAAUAGCGUAUAUUAAAUUUGUUGCAGUUAAAAAGCUCGUAGUUGAAUUUCGAGAUCAAAUUGUUGGUCGUGCCUUGGUACGCACUGGCAUUAUUGGUUUCUCCCUUCUGACGAACCAUGAUGUCAUUAAUUGGGUGUCUUGGGGAAUCAGGACUGUUACUUUGAAAAAAUUAGAGUGUUUAAAGCAGGCUCACGCUUGAAUACAUUAGCAUGGAAUAAUGAAUUAGUACGUUUGAUUCUAUUUUGUUGGUUUCUAGGAUCGACGUAAUGAUUAAUAGGGGUAGUUGGGGGCAUUAGUAUUCAAUUGUCAGAGGUGAAAUUCUUGGAUUUAUUGAAGACUAACUACUGCGAAAGCAUUUGCCAAGGAUGUUUUCAUUAAUCAAGAACGAAAGUUAGGGGAUCGAAGACGAUCAGAUACCGUCGUAGUCUUAACCAUAAACUAUGCCGACUAGGGAUCGGAUGAUGUUAAUUUUUUAAUGACUCAUUCGGCGCCUUACG